UUCAGACAGUUGGAUUGGCUGGAUUUGAACAGGACGUUCUAUACGAGAAGGGAUUACGUUGGUUUUAUUCAGUUAUUUUGGGGAUGAUUGACGUAUUAUCAGUGUACCGUAUGUCAAGAAGCAUCCUAUGGUGAUACAGCAUUCGUUCUCCGCAAGAAUAUUUCUCUCCACAUAUCUGUUGUAAAAGAGUGAAAGACAAAUAAUAUUUUAAAGAACAUAUAAAGUUUUUUUUGAAAGCUGAAACAAGCAAUAUCGUUAAAAUGGAUAAAGUUCAAGAACUUUCUGAAGCACUGCCUUUACCAAGUCAGCCAUUCUUAAACGUCGAAGUAAAUGAAUGCAAAGAAAGUUGAGUGAGUCUGUGUUAGUGAAACCAUGCUACAGGUGAAACUAGAUUGACGUCACUGGUCAUAUGUUGUGCUUCAACAGACUCACUUCUUCAAAUACCACUGUGCUGUCAAAACGUGAACAAAACCAUUUAUUCAAUUUGAUAAUAAGCAUUAACAUCUUAAUAGUAUUUACCACUUUAUUUUAGCACUAUCCCAGAGUAUAGAAUUAUAAAGCUUGUCAAAGACUUUCUUAUCAACAUGAAAACAAUUCAUGGCGACUCAUGUUUCGUAGAAUUUGUUGAUCCUUUUUAAUGGAACAUGUCAAGAGCAUAACUAUUGUGUAUGACACAGAUAAUUUUUCAACAUAUGGCAAGAUAAUUGAUUUGAAAAAAGUUAUGCUAAAGUAUCAUGUCUAUCAACUUCAUGAUGGGGGGCAUGGAUAUGAAGAACUUGAAGAACUCCAUCUUUUUAAAAUCACUCCCAAACAAUGACAUUUUCAAAGUAUAUAUUAGUCACGUGUUUGAA